rnacentral:rRNA from 1 species
AGCGAACGCUGGCGGCAGGCUUAACACAUGCAAGUCGAACGGGCAUAGCAAUAUGUCAGUGGCAGACGGGUGAGUAACGCGUGGGAACGUACCUUUUGGUUCGGAACAACACAGGGAAACUUGUGCUAAUACCGGAUAAGCCCCUACGGCGAAAGAUUUAUCGCCGAAGGAUCGGCCCGCGCCUGAUUAGCUAGUUGGUAGGGUAAUGGCCUACCAAGGCGACGAUCAGUAACUGGGCUGAGAGGAUGAUCAGCCACAUUGGGACUGAUACACGGCCCAAACUCCUGGGGGAGGCAGCAGUGGGUAAUAUUGGACAAUGGGCGAAAGCCUGAUCCAGCCAGGCCGCGUGAGUGAUGAAGUCCCUAAGGUUGUAAAGCUCUUUUGUGCGGGAAGAUAAUGACGGUACCGAAAGAAUAAGCCCCGGCUAACUUCGUG